AUUGAACGCUGGCGGCAGGCCUAACACAUGCAAGUCGAACGGUAACAGGAAGCAGCUUGCUGCUUUGCUGCCGAGUGGCGGACGGGUGAGUAAUGUCUGGGAAACUGCCUGAUGGAGGGGGAUAACUACUGGAAACGUUAGCUAAUACCGCAUAACGUCGCAAGACCAAAGAGGGGGACCUUCGGGCCUCUUGCCAUCGGAUGUGCCCAGAUGGGAUUAGCUAGUAGGUGGGGUAACGGCUCACCUAGGCGACGAUCCCUAGCUGGUCUGAGAGGAUGACCAGCCACACUGGAACUGAGACACGGUCCAGACUCCUACGGGAGGCAGCAGUGGGGAAUAUUGCACAAUGGGCUCAAGCCUGAUGCAGCCAUGCCGCGUGUAUGAAGAAGGCCUUCGGGUUGUAAAGUACUUUCAGCGGGGAGGAAGGGAGUAAAGUUAAUACCUUUGCUCAUUGACGUUACCCGCAGAAGAAGCACCGGCUAACUCCGUG
rnacentral:rRNA from 1 species